UUAUCCAUUGUAUCUAGACUUAUUGACGCAGAACCAAAAAUGAUAGAUUGUGAUUCUAAUCCUGGGUAAGACAUGACCUAAAAGCCCAUGCACUUCUCAAUAUUCCAGGUUCAUGUUGAAAGGCUGUAUGUAAUCAAUGAGCUACACUAUGUAUCAAAUUGGUAGUUUGCAUGCCCCAAUUAUUGAGGGCACUUUACAUAUGCACUAUCAUGCUUUGGAAAGUAUACUAUUGGAGGCUCAUUUUUUAGGCACCUGGAAUGAAACCCUAUAUCCUCACUGAAGUGUUUUGAAGUUUAUUACGAAGGGAGCGUAAUGCCUGUUUAUCAUCACAUUUAUCUCUAAUUUCUUCAUUUAUAAACAGCAGAUCUCUUUGCAUGUGUCAAGAUACACUCUUAUGUGAAGCAAUUUACUGAAUGCUUCUUGCUUUUUGCCUUGUACCCAUUGUUCUCUCUGACAACGUUUUUCUGUCCUUUUAGUAUUUGUGUGAGUGUUAUGCACGAGUCUACAGUGUGAUUUCCAACAUUCUUUGUGAUAAAAGAUGUCGAGAGCAGCAGCUUUAAGUAUUACCUCCAUUACUAUUGCAAUAAAUUGCUAAGGCUUCCAACAACGUUUUUUUCAGCUCAUCUUUAACAAGAGGAAUAGCCUCUACAAAUGUCACCCUAGAAUAUUUCUGGAAGUCUUUCCUUUCAAUUCCUUUUGACAGACAACACAGGAAAACUCUGAAGCUUUACAAGAUAUAUGACUGCUCCUAAAAUUUGAAGAUAGUUUCUUCAGUGCUCUCAGUAUCCUGCGGCUCAUCUGUUCUACAUUUGUUCUAAAAGAGUGGUAAAGGGAUGGCUUAUGUUUUGACUUGGAAUGUGGACAGCUACUGCAAGGAAAUGGAGUUUGGAAUCGUUUAUGCCUAGGAGACUUGUGUUCCAUCCUUUUCAUAAGUUUAGGCCAAGGAGAUGUUUUCCAUCCACAUUUUUAUAGGUCUAAUUCUAGGAGACUUGCUCCAUGUCUGUUUUGAGAGUGCUGCCAUACAGCCUGGAGGGAAGUUGGAGAACUUUUACUCUGAAUUGAUGGAGACAGACAAAGCGAAGGAUGCAACAGGGACAGGCACGAGACUCAGCAUCUACAAAGGACUUGCAUAUAGGACUACAGUUUGAAAAGCAUGCUAGUAACAACUAAUGAUAUAGUUCAUUUAUAGGACUAGCUCCUAUUGUAUGAUAAACCUUCAUCUUAGGGUUUUUUAAAGUACUACUAACUUUGAGUCUGUUUAGAAAUACGUAUAUAGGAUAACUUUGAGUGUUUAAAAAUAUAUGGAUAUCAGGAAAUUAAAUCAGUUAGUUCAUUUAAGAACAACUGUCAAAAUGGGAAAAUGGGUAAAAAAAAGUAUUAAGGUAAUAUUUUAUAUAGGGAUUUUAUUGCCACAAAUGUUUACAAGCAAGCCAGCCUCACACCAGAAAAAAA